ACAGUAUAUAAAAUCAGUGCAAUUAAAAAGCCCUCAUCUUUCAUUGGUAUUUAAAACACGAUACCGUUUUGUUAUUGAAAAAUGGAUAAAGUAAAGAGCAACGGAUAUUUUUGAGUGAUGCUUGUGAAAUUUAGACCCAAAGUUUGUAAAGAUUAAGAAAAAAGGAUUGGAGGAGACGAUGUACUGGUAUUUGCUAUUAUGCUUUUCACUUCUGGUGUGUCCCAUUUGAAUUCUCUUCUUCCCCCACUAAUACUAAUUAAGCGGGCCAUUCCUGUUCUUUACAUCAUCUUUUAAGUGCAUUCUCAAUCAAUAUAACCGAAAAACUAAAGGAAAGGGAAAAAGUAAUUUAAUGUUUGAAUGGAUUAAAGUGGGAAAACCAUGUCUUAAAUAAAGUAGCAUGUAAAUUCGAGACUUGCAGAAAGAAAGAUGAAAUUGGAGACAUUGGAAAAGUGUAACUUACUAGUUUUAAGAAGAGGAGAGUGUGUGUGGUAGUAUCCAUUCAAUCCACAUGAAGGCUGCCAAAAACAAAACCAGCACUGAGCCGUUAGAUGGUGGUUUGGGAUAUGAGUGAAGAGAAUCCGAGGGUGGAUACAGAAGGAUGGUCCAUUGUUUAAAGUGGGAGACAGUGUAGGUAAUUGGUGGGUGGUCGGCCCGCCCCCUGCAUGUGAUGAGUGGCAGCGCGUGAGCCUGUAACGUGGGGUACAUCUUUUCCCCUUUCUCUUCUGAAAAAGUAACACUGGUGUAAUUUAAUUAAUCAUAUUUUAUAAAGGAUCUUACAAUAUGUUACAUGGAA